rnacentral:rRNA from 1 species
UCCUACGGGAGGCAGCAGUGAGGAAUAUUGGACAAUGGAGGCAACUCUGAUCCAGCCAUGCCGCGUGCAGGAAGACUGCCCUAUGGGUUGUAAACUGCUUUUAUACAGGAAGAAACAUCGCUACGUGUAGCGACUUGACGGUACUGUAAGAAUAAGGAUCGGCUAACUCCGUGCCAGCAGCCGCGGUAAU